GAUCAAGGUAUGAAGGGCGUACGGUGGAUGCCUUGGCACUAGGAGCCGAUGAAGGACGCGACGAACAGCGAUAUGCUUCGGGGAGCAGUAAGUAUGCUUUGAUCCGAGGAUUUCCGAAUGGGGGAACCCACCAUCCGUAAUGGGAUGGGACAUGUUACAUGAAUACAUAGUGUAGCGUGAGGCAGACCCGGGGAACUGAAACAUCUAAGUACCCGGAGGAAGAGAAAGCAAAUGCGAUUCCCUGAGUAGCGGCGAGCGAAACGGGAACAGCCCAAACCGGAGAGCA
rnacentral:rRNA from 2 species